GUCUUCGAGUCGUUGAUUUCACACUGCCGAGAAAAGCCUCUAGAUAGAAAAUAGGUGCCCGUACCGCAAACCGACACAGGUAGUCAAGAUGAGAAUUCUAAGGUGAGCGAGCGAACUCUCGUUAAGGAACUCGGCAAAAUGACCCCGUAACUUCGGGAGAAGGGGUGCUCUUUAGGGUUAACGCCCAGAAGAGCCGCAGUGAAUAGGCCCAAGCGACUGUUUAUCAAAAACACAGGUCUCUGCUAAACCGUAAGGUGAUGUAUAGGGGCUGACGCCUGCCCGGUGCUGGAAGGUUAAGAGGAGGGGUUAGCUUCUGCGAAGCUACGAAUCGAAGCCCCAGUAAACGGCGGCCGUAACUAUAACGGUCCUAAGGUAGCGAAAUUCCUUGUCGGGUAAGUUCCGACCCGCACGAAAGGCGUAACGAUUUGGGCACUGUCUCAACGAGAGACUCGGUGAAAUCAUAGUACCUGUGAAGAUGCAGGUUACCC
rnacentral:rRNA from 1 species